AGGGCAUGAACCAAUCACACUAGUUAAACACAAUUACACUUAUCUUUUUUUGGUAAAGUAAGGAAAAAAAAUAAAAUAGAACUACACUGAGAAACUAUCAAAGGCUAAACUAAUUCCAUUUGAUGCUAAGGCAUUAGCAACUGUAUUUGGCUCUUGAGGAACAACAACAAUCUCUAGCUACCAUUCCCUGUAAGUCACAACAUGAAUUGCACUCAGAAUAUCUCUGUGAGUAUGCAAGUCUGCCAUAUCAGAAUUCGCCUCGUGGAUUGCUUUUACUGCUUCCAAACAAUCUGUCUCGCAAAUAACCUUUGUGAAAACCACCCUCCUAAAGGUGGUCAUGACCUCUUCUUCUUCUUGAAGCCCUCCCUUUUCCUCUGAUUGUUUCCCAUGAUGGGCAAAGGAUGGGGUGUCUCGCAGAUGGUCUCUUGUGGGGUGGGAGACGUUGUGCAAACCUAUAAUCCAAGGGGGGUUUGGGCGUGAGAGAUUCGCGCCAAGCAAAUACAGCGUUGUUGGGAAAACUCACUAGAGAAGUUCUGGGUUAAGGUAUUACAACAUAAGUAUUUGUGAAAUACUUUAGUGUUGGAAGUGGUGAGGGGAUCAUGACCUUCUUAUGUUUGGCCCAACAUCGUGAAAGCGUUGAGGGUACUUCGUAAUGGUUUCAACCUGCUUGCUCAUUUGAAGGAGUUUCUAGUGAGCAUUUUAGCCAUCUUAAUUAAAUACCAAUAAACA
rnacentral:lncRNA from 1 species